rnacentral:rRNA from 2 species
UUGAUUGAUGGUGCUUGCACCUGAUUGAUUUUGGUCGCCAACGAGUGGCGGACGGGUGAGUAACACGUAGGUAACCUGCCCAGAAGCGGGGGACAACAUUUGGAAACAGAUGCUAAUACCGCAUAACAACGUUGUUCGCAUGAACAACGCUUAAAAGAUGGCUUCUCGCUAUCACUUCUGGAUGGACCUGCGGUGCAUUAGCUUGUUGGUGGGGUAAUGGCCUACCAAGGCGAUGAUGCAUAGCCGAGUUGAGAGACUGAUCGGCCACAAUGGGACUGAGACACGGCCCAUACUCCUACGGGAGGCAGCAGUAGGGAAUCUUCCACAAUGGGCGCAAGCCUGAUGGAGCAACACCGCGUGAGUGAAGAAGGGUUUCGGCUCGUAAAGCUCUGUUGUUAAAGAAGAACACGUAUGAGAGUAACUGUUCAUACGUUGACGGUAUUUAACCAGAAAGUCACGGCUAACUACGUGCCAGCAGCCGCGGUAAUACGUAGGUGGCAAGCGUUAUCCGGAUUUAUUGGGCGUAAAGAGAGUGCAGGCGGUUUUCUAAGUCUGAUGUGAAAGCCUUCGGCUUAACCGGAGAAGUGCAUCGGAAACUGGAUAACUUGAGUGCAGAAGAGGGUAGUGGAACUCCAUGUGUAGCGGUGGAAUGCGUAGAUAUAUGGAAGAACACCAGUGGCGAAGGCGGCUACCUGGUCUGCAACUGACGCUGAGACUCGAAAGCAUGGGUAGCGAACAGGAUUAGAUACCCUGGUAGUCCAUGCCGUAAACGAUGAGUGCUAGGUGUUGGGAGGGUUUCCGCCCUUCAGUGCCGGAGCUAACGCAUUAAGCACUCCGCCUGGGGAGUACGACCGCAAGGUUGAAACUCAAAGGAAUUGACGGGGGCCCGCACAAGCGGUGGAGCAUGUGGUUUAAUUCGAAGCUACGCGAAGAACCUUACCAGGUCUUGACAUCUUGCGCCAACCCUAG